rnacentral:rRNA from 1 species
CACGUAGGGCGCAAGCGUUGUCCGGAAUUAUUGGGCGUAAAGAGCUCGUAGGCGGACUGUCACGUCCGCUGUGAAAAGCUAGGGCUUAACCCUGGCCUUGCAGUGGAUACGGGCAGACUAGAGGUAGGUAGGGGAGAAUGGAAUUCCCGGUGUAGCGGUGAAAUGCGCAGAUAUCGGGAGGAACACCGGUGGCGAAGGCGGUUCUCUGGGCUUUACCUGACGCUGAGGAGCGAAAGCGUGGGGAGCGAACAGG